UACGUAGGGACCGAGCGUUGUCCGGAAUCAUUGGGCGUAAAGCGCGCGUAGGUGGCCCCGUAAGUCCGCUGUGAAAGUCAAAGGCUCAACCUUUGAAAGCCGGUGGAUACUGUGGGACUAGAGUACGGAAGAGGCGAGUGGAAUUCCUGGUGUAGCGGUGGAAUGCGCAGAUAUCAGGAGGAACACCAAUAGCGAAGGCAGCUCGCUGGGACGUUACUGACACUGAGGCGCGAAAGCGUGGGGAGCGAACAGG
rnacentral:rRNA from 1 species